UUUGGCAGACGCCAAACAAACAGGGCAGCUCCCGAGCCGGCGUGUUCAGCGCGCUCGGGGAAUCCUCUGGGGGUGACUCGGAGGCUCAGACUCCGGCAUGGAAUGAUGGCCACAUGCCAUCCAGGAAACAGACAUCAAAGACACACAGGAGCACGUGGAGACAAACAGCGCCCCCUAUGAAAGCAAACUGCUGGAACUGCGCCGUGAGGCUUACCCGGACCUAAGAUGAGCGUUCCACCUUGCUGAGCUGGAUCUCCUUGGAAAUCAAAAAGGGGGCCAGUCACUGCCCGCCACAGGCUCCGAACGCUUCCUGAGAGUAUAUUUGACUUUAUAUGGGGGCUCUGUCCUGAAAUAUUAGAUAUUGUCUUUAGAUGUUAUCGUUUUAUAUUUGAUUAGCUAUUAAGAUAACAUUAGUACUUCUAGAAAACAA